CACUUGAAAUGUGAACUUGGGGAAAAAUGCCAGAAUUUGGAAAAAUAAGUUCCAUGUUAAUAUUAACCUUCAAGUCACCACAACCAUGAAAAAGUCAAAUAAACACGUUUGUCAAGAUAGAGAUGAAAUACAUUAUUUAAGAUAAGAUAAGAUUUACAUCCUUUAUUUGUCCCACACUGGGGAAAUUUACAGCUUCCAGCAGCAAGAAUGUGGGUAGAAAGAAGAAAGAAGAAAAACUUCUUUAAAAAAUGAAAUGAUUAUCUCUUCACAUCAAGCAUGAAAAUAAAUAUGCAACAAAUUAUUUCAAAAUCUAUGCAUAAUAAUCUAACUAUUCUGUAAGAAUAGACACGAGAAUAAAUUUGAAGUUGUCAGAACAUGUGUGACAUGAAACUAGUCUUGCUGCCAAGUCGAGUCAUUCGUAUGAAUAGAAAUAUCAGACCGGCAUGAUAAAACACAGAUGAACGACUUCAAAUCUCCUGAAUAUUGCCAAACUGGUGACGUGACCUUAUCCAAAAUGUUUUCUUGCACUCUGACCCUCAUAUUUUUUAUUCGUUUUAUAUGCGGUUUUUUUCCCCUCAGAAUUUCUGAGACAUAAAGGUGACAUGUUACCCAGUGGGUUAUUUGAUGUUACAAAGGACCGAGCGAGUUUGAUGAUGUCAUCAAAUAUACAUAGUUGGGCCAUGAUAGUUCGAGAGGCUGAAGGUCAAGUCCCUUCUUAGCCUCUCUCUCCACUAUGCAUGCACUUAUAAAUAUUGGAAUAACCUUUGCAGCUGAAGCCAGAGGACAGCCAUCUUAUGUUGCCACUGUUAUUGACAGUUUUCAAUUCAAUUCAAUUGUAUUUAUAGAGCACUUUCGAACAGCCAUCGGUGCAUACAAAGUGCUGUACAUGGAGCAAUUUAACAUAUACAAUAAACAGUAAAACAAAUCGGUAACAAAGACGGUAGAAAGCACCGAAUAGUAAAACCAAGAACAAAUCUAAGUCAUGCUGAGUCGAAUGCAGAAGAAUACAAGUGAGUUUUGAGAAGGGAUUUGAAGAUGGGCAGCGAGGAGGCUUGCCGAAUAUUCAGUGUGAGUUUUGUGUUUUGAGUGAGUGUUUUGCCCGUAUAGCGUAAAGGUAGCCUCUAAAAGAAAAAAAAAUCAAAAAUGGCUGUCGGUGGAUUAACUUCUGGCGACUAAGCAGGCUUCUAAGUCCAAUCAUUUUUCAGUACUUGUCUCUGAGACCAGAAGCCUCUCUGUAGCCUCCCGCAGAAUGCUUUGCGGCGUUGUUUUCAAGUUGGCAGCAGAGGGCGCUGUUUCACUUCUCAGACGGUUGGCCACUCAAUACAGACGCUCCCCAGCUUACGAACGAGAUACGUUCCGAACGAUCGUUCGUAAGGUGAAUUCGUUCGAAAGUUGCUUCAGUGCUAUAUUUUGUAUGGAAUGUAUGUUUAAGGCUUAUAUAAGUAUGUUUAAGGCUUGUAUGAGUAACCUGUAUUGGUUUGUACUGAAAAAUAAACAUUUAAUAAAAUAAUAUGCUCUAUAAAGAUAUGUACAGAUACAGUACAACUGGAGAGAAUACAGUAUUACAUAUUUCAGAGAGAGAUAGAAGAGAGAGAGAGACAUACAGUAUGUACAUGUACGUAAUAAGAUACUGUAAAUAAAAUGAAAAUGUACUCGAACAUGUACUCGAAGGCUUAAGGAGAUGAUGGAAGAGGAAGAUUUUAUAUCACGGGGACGAGAGGGUCUUCAUCGUCGCUGGAAUGGGCUUCAAGAGUUACUUUCUCCUCCGUAACAUCAAUGAAGGAAGAAGUUAAGGGUCCAGGAGAAGAAGAUGAGGGUUGACGAGAAUAUAAAUAGUACCGAUGGUCGAACGAUUCAUGUUGUACGCACGUGCAACGCUCACCAUUUUCUCACCCGCAUCAAGCUUUAUUAUUGCCACUUUCAUUUGAAAUGAAAUGGCUUGCCUCUUCUUUACACUUCCACUCUCACUAGAAGCCUUUCGCUUUUCACCAACCAUAUUAAAUAAUGGAUGCACGAGAUAUUUAACAACUGGGCAGAGGAAGCCGGAUUCGGGGUGGAUGGUGGGCGAGCUCUCACAGCGCCUCACGUCGGUAUUAGCGGCGGAAAGAAGCACUACAGUACCUGUAUUCGGAAAAAGGCGCGCAAUACAAAAUCUAACUUUUUCUUUUCUUUUUCGACAUACCCGUAAAAAUGUUUGUAUGUACCGUUGUACGGAUGUUUGUAAGUCGGGGAGCGUCUGUACACCAUGCCGGCCAAGUUGGAUACCUUCAAACUCCACUGCAUUAUUGAGAGCAUUUUGAAAUCGAAAUACCAAGAUUGUUACGAGUACAUAGGAAUAAUAAUAAGGAACUCACAUAACGGGGUCAUUCAGAACAUCAAACUGAGCUGUAAUUUAUUCAAUACAGAGCGCAUUUUCACAAUGUCCUUCAGUAGCUGGGCCAAAAAUUGGCAAUAUUUAUUUUAAUCCCUCAAAGGAAAUUAAAUUUAAUCUCUGCUGUAUAUAUUUUGAGUUGCCACCACACAUAACCAACUCUCUCUCUCUCUCUCUCUCUCUCUCUCUCUCUCUCUCUCACUCUCUCUCUCUCUCUCUCUCUCUCUCUCUCUCUCUCUCUCUCUCUCUAUCUCUAUCUCUCUCUCACACACACACAUACAAAUAACAAAA